rnacentral:pre_miRNA from 1 species
AGUAGAAUUUCUGGGUCAUAUGGUCACUUUAUGUUUAACUUUUUGAGGAACUGCAAGAAUGUUUUCCAAAGUGGCUGCACUAUUUUACAUUCCCACCAGCAAU